CUGCUGCCUUCCGUAGGAGUCUGGGCCGUGUCUCAGUCCCAAUGUGGCCGUCCACCCUCUCAGGCCGGCUACUGAUCGUCGCCUUGGUAGGCCGUUACCCUGCCAACCAGCUAAUCAGACGCGGGCCCAUCUCGCACCACCUGGGUUUUUCAGGGCAGGGGGCAUGCGCCCCCGCCCGCUAUGCGGUGUUAGCACCUAUUUCUAAGUGUUAUCCCCCAGUGCGAGGCAGGUUGCCCACGCGUUACUCACCCGUCCGCCACG
rnacentral:rRNA from 1 species